AUUAGAUACCAAUGGCUUGGUCCCUGAGAAUAACAAAAAGUUUCUUGUAACAAUGUGAUCUUUCAUUCUGCAUUUAAAUUUGUUAAAAAUACUUAGUUUCCUCAAGAUUCAAAAAAAUUACUACAUUUAAAAAGCAUUGGCACAAUAUUUUGCGCCUACCCUCAUCUUAAAAUAUGAAGUCAAUGCAACUACAAAUAAACUAGAUUUGGAAUUGAAGAAUGAAACAGGGGAAGAUGAUAAACGAAACAGGGGAAAUAAAAAAGAAGAGUAGUUCUUAAGACAAACUUACGAAAACAAAUAUUUCUCACUACCAUCGAAAACAAAAUCAAUAUAAGGUCUUUUAUAACGUCCAGUAUAUUAAAAUCCUUCCCCAUUGUUUAAAAUUGACUAAAUUGAUGAAUAAAAAGCAUUUUUAAUAAACUCACCAUCUUCAUUGGCUCCAUUCUUCUCUGCUUCAGCCUUAGCCUCUGCUUCCUUGGCCUCCUUCUCCUUUCGCUGUUGUUCCUUGAAUUUAAGUUUAAGAGCUUCAA